rfam:Ovis aries breed Texel chromosome 1, whole genome shotgun sequence.
UCAACAUCUUGAACAGUGCUUCAAAUGUUUU